GGCAAAAAAACAAGCUUUUUGAAACUUUACCAAAUGAGACAACUGCUUCAAAAAAUGACUGAAUGUUCCAAUAAAAUUCAAAACACUAAAUGAAACAAUUACUUUUAAAAUGAUUCCAUCUUCAAAAUGCUUAUAAGAUAAAAAAGCAACUGUUUCUGAAAAUGAUUCACUGCUUCCAAAAGCUCAAAACACAAAAUGAGACAACUUGUUCUGAAAAUAAAUGUAUUUUGAAGAAAUCAUGAUUCAAAUCAAAUCCAGCUUCAAAUCUAAGUCACAGUCCAUCUGUAAAAAAAAAACUGGUGUAAUGGUGUCACUGUCCAAAUAUUUAUGGACCUCACAGUAAAAGCAAUAAGCAAGGACCCAAGCAUGUCAAAAAAGCUGCAAUUUCAGGUGACUGAAGCGUGAACAUGAAAUUACAUCAUGUGCAGAGUGAACAUGACCAUGUUACAAAGAGUGCAAACAUGAGUGUUCCUGUCAGUCAAAAACAUCAAAACUCUAAUGUAAAAAAUUAUAAUUUUAUAUCUUUGUGUGGGAAAACCUGAGCACACCAUCAAGUUAAAGUAUUAAAAACACAACUGUAAUGAAUUAUGAAUUAAUAAUAAUUAAUUAUUCAGGAAGGUUUAGGAUGUGGUCUCCUUGUUUAGGAUAUACAUUAAUUAUUCAGGAAGGUUUAGGAUGUGGUCUCCUUGUUUAGGAUAUACAUUAAUUAUUCAGGAAGGUUUAGGAUGUGGUCUCCUUGUUUAGGAUAUACAUUAAUUAUUCAGGAAGGUUUAGGAUGUGUUUCUCCUUGUUUAGGAUAUACAUUAUUUUACCAGUAAACACUAUUCAUUGCCUGGUAGAAAGCUGACCUUUGACCUAAAUGCCGUUGACCUUCACCCAAAUUCACCACCUUUGGCUGACCUUGCCAAGGCACUUUCAGAAUGCACCUCCAUGACUGUGCCAUGUUUGGUCCAAAUUGGUUUUAAUGAAUGACCCCAGUGAUCUUGACCUCUGUCAAAAUAAACUCUUUAUAGGCAACCUAGUGAUGACCUUUAUACAUAUUCCAAGUUUGGUAGAAAUCAGCCAAAGGCCCUGGGAGGGUGAGGCCAGUAAACACACAGAUAGACAUGACCUUGACCUCAAUGAUAGACCUUCGGCAAAUUUGACCUCAUCUCAGGAAUUCCAGAAUCCACUCAGCCAAGUCAAAAUGAAAAAUCAGUAUUUUGACCUUUGACAGCAAUGACCUUGACCCCAGUGAGCCAGAGCAGGUGGUUCUGUAGAAUAAGAGUUAGACUGGCAACUGGCGUUCGAUUAUACUGUAGAUCCUUGGACCUCAAUGAGUGACCUUUAGCAAAUCUGAUGCCACCUAAACAUCUGUGAAGCCCACCUACAUACACUCUCCGGCCACUUUAUUAGGUACACCUUGAUAGUACCGGGUUGGACCCCCUUUUGCCUUCGGAACUGCCUUAAUUCUUUGUGGCAUAGAUUCAACAAGGUGUUGGAAACAGUCCUCAGAGAUGUUGGUCCAUAUUGACACGACAGCAUCAUGCAGUCGUCCAUUCAACCAGUCUGCCCCUUCUCUUCUGACCUUUGACAUCAAUUAGAUAUUUUCAUCCACACAAUGCUGCUCACUGGACAUCUUCUCUUUUUUGGACCAUUCUUUGUAAACCAUUGAGAUGAUUGUGUCUGAAAAUCCCUGUAGAUCAGCAGUUUCUGAAAUACUUAGACCAGCCUGUCUGGCACCAACAACCAUGCCAUGUUCAAAGUCACUUAAAUCCCCUUUCUUCCUCAUUCUGAUGCUCAGUUUGAACUUCAGCAAGUCGUCUUCACCACAUCUAGACGCCUAAAUGCAUUAGGUGCCAUGUGAUUGGCUGAUUAGCUAUUUGUGUUAACAAGCAAUUGUACAGGUGUACCUAAUAAAAUGGCCGGUGAGUGCAUGUGUCAAGUUUGGCCCAAAUUGGAGAGAAAAAAAUAGCCAAUAUUGUUUCCCAUGUACGAUGGCAUUUUAGGGCCACAUUGAGUUUUUUUUUUUUUUUUCGAGAAUAAA